AAGAGUUGGGAGCUUAACCAACUGAGCCACCCAGGCGCCCCUGUCCAUGUUAGUAUUUAAGAUAGAUUUACUUCUUUUUCUUUUUGCCCUGUUGCAUGCCUUUCCACGAUAUAUGAAUAGGCCAAAGUUAAUUGAAUCAUCCCCCUAUUAAUUUACACUUAGGUGACUUAGUGUUUUACAUUCUAAAGGAUUUUGUGAGCCAUGUAAUCUCUUCAUGUAGCUGGUUCUAACAAAAAUGCACUUUGCAUAGACUAGGAAUGCCCAACCCAAUACUUCAGAGCAUGCUAUAGUAAUCUCAUUUAAGUCAAUGUAGAUUGUCUACCAACUUUAAUCCAGGAGCAAAUAAGUCCAACAAGCAAGAAACCUAAAGGGAGUAUAUGUUGUGGGAAGUGUAUGUUGAGGCAGAGGUCCAGAGCAGGGUUUGCACAUCCUUCCAGACUCCAAAGAAGAGGUGAGGUUGGGGAAGGAUGGAGAAAGAGGGGUAUGUAACAGUCAGCCUGAAAAAGUGAUGCUCUAUGAUCAUGCAACCUCUAAUUAUACCAAUUUCUAAUUAUGUUGUCAUAUUCCCUUAUUCUUUUUUUUACAUGUAAAAUUUCUGUCUUGAAUUUGGCCAAAUCUCGGUGAUUUUCUUGCUGAUACUACAAUUAAUUCAUUUGUAUUAUUUUUAUCAUCACUUGAAGCAAGUCUUUGUUACUAUUUAUAAGAAUUAUCCUUUCCAUUGCACUUGCUGAAUUACAUAAAAAGUGUCAUUAGAAACCAUGAAAUGUCUGUAGAGAAAAGGAAUCAUAAGUUAACCAGUAACUUGUCCAAAGAGUGCCAGCCAGCAAGGCUCCCUCCACAGGGUAACUCUGGCAUUGGGCAGGGCACUUGACCUCUCUGAACCUCAGUUUUCUCAUCUGUAAAAUGAGGCUAAAACCCCUGGUGAGGCCAGCAGGUGAGAUAAUGAGUCAGGCCAUGGAGUAGGGGCCAGUCUUCAGGGCCAACCAUUUGUGGGCAUUCUAGACUCCAAGAUCAAUAAUGCCAGAAUCCCUGCUUUUCUCAGCGGAGAAGCAGGGGCAGUUGGGGGGGGGGGCGUGGUAGUGUCCAAUUUCCAUUAGAAAUCUCUCAAAGUCUAGAUGUUAGCAAAUAAGACAAAACUUUACAAAACACACCAUAUUUUUUGUAAAGGGCUAAAUAAACUUGGGGCCAAAUAAUGUGUAAGUUCCGGCUAAAUUGAGCCUUUGGGCCACGGUAUUUAUCAUCUUGGUGCUGCACUAGUUACAAACAUCAUUUUGCUCUAAAUUUCUGCAAUUUGAUUUUAGCAGUUUCUCAAAACAGGGAGAGAGUAGCGAUGUUGAGCCCACAUUCUGAGUUCAGACUGGGUGGAACUGUCCACCCACACAGUUUGUUCUGAAGUGCCCUGAGUGAAAACCAGUCCCUGGCCUGUCUGUUCAGCUCAUCCUCUGGUUCUACCGCCAUGGCCAGGCCCAGCUCAGCAACUUGAACCUGGGAGGUACAUUGCUGUUGCCUCAGGCAAUAAAUAGAUUUAGGAGAUGGGCUGGAGACAGCUCCUCCUUUGAUAUCUGCGGAAGGUGAGGUUCAUGGUUUGAGGUAUGGUUUAUCGUUCUUUUUGCCUUAAAGUUCCAGACAGAGCAGAAAUACAGCCAGCAAAUAUCAGGAGCUGAAUACCAGCUGCAUUUAGGGAAGAUGCUUUCUCAACUGGUUUCAUGUUUAAAUUUUAAGAAUGAAGUUGAAACAAACGGAAAGUGUAACAGACACCAAUUUAUUCGUCCCUGAGAUUAGGCAAGUAUUAAUAGGCUUUGACCCGUUUGUUCUCAGGUCUCUCCCUUUAGGGAAAACAACAUGUAUAUAUAUAAAAAGUCAUCCACAUGUUCUUUGCCCCCUCUUUUGUGCACAGUUCUGUAUUUAUCCAUUUUGUGUGUGUGUGUGUGUGUGUGUGUGUGUGUGUGUGUGUGUGUGUUAGUCACUAUGAAAAAUAAAUGUUUUCGUUUUGUGGUCCUUCAAAUGCAAUAAAUGGUUUCACAUUCAUAAGCUUGCUCCCCUCACUCCAUAUUAUGGUUUUGGAUUUUAUCCAUGUUGAUACAUAUAGAUGUGAUUCAUGUAUACACAUAUGGAUGUGAUGGUUGAUGCAUAGUAUACAGUUAUACAAAUAAAGCACAGUCUAUUUUUCCAUUCCCCCCGAGCACAGGAAGUUGGUUUCCAUGGUUUUGUUUUACAAAGUCGCGACAACAUAACUGCUCCAUGUAGGUACCAUUGUGACAACUAGAUUUGGAAUUCCUAGGUAGAAUUCAAAGGGAAAGCAUACUUUAAGUUGCAUGAGGAAUUGCCAAACAGACUCCAAAAUGGUGGAGCCAAUAAUGUGCCAGAGUAUCUGCUUCCCUACAUCCUCAGCAAAACUUGAUGUGUUUCGAUGUUAAAAAUCAAGGUAGUCGACCUUGGCUGUCACGCUUAAAGCUGCACAAAUUACCACUUGUACAUAUUUGAUGAUAUUGUGCCAUUAUCAAAAUAUGAGUAAGGUGUGUACAUGAAGAGUUGAAAACACAUCAAAAAACAGUGAACAUUUGGCAACAGGAAAGGAGAAAAGGAGACAUACAUUGGAAACCAACAUGCCACACCUUGCCUAUCAGCUUAAGCUCUAAACUAACUUGCCGCUACAACUUAGCCAAGAUAUUUUGUUGUUACAUGAACUUCUCAAGGAAAAUUUCUACAAGCGGAAGUUGAGAAAUUUGCAGUAUUUUCCCUCAAAUCAAAUGUCAAAGCAUAUCUGGAGAGACCCAAAACAACAAGGUGACAGUUGGGCUUAGGAUCUCUUGGACUUUUCUCUAGGUUUCUUGAAGGCCAAUCUGCCUUGAACCACGCAUCGGAAUGAAACUAAAUUGAUUUCCUUAUAUCAAGUUGACCAGUAGCUUGGUAAGCACGAUAGUACAACCUCAGUAGAUUGUAUAAUGACUGCAUUCUAAUCUCAGAAGCAAAUACAGUUGCAAGGGAAAAAAUCAAAUGGAGAUAAAGAAAAGACCUUAAGACUCCACGAUUUUGUAAAGGAGGAAAAUGCUGGAGAUUUUGACCUACACCCGUUGAAACAAAAUAUCACCUGGACCUGUUUUGAACCUCAUCAUACAUAUGACUCCUAAACUUUUUAUGUAAUCAGGUUAGCACGAAUGCAAAGCGUUUAACAUGUUCCGAUGCAAAACCAGAAGACGAAUUCCAAUUAUUCUUAACAUCCGCCCACUAACAUGCCGUAAAUGAUUUACUUGGGAAUCUAUUGCAAUAAAGUUCACCUUCAGAAAGUGGCA